UACGUAGGGGGCUAGCGUUGUCCGGAAUCAUUGGGCGUAAAGAGCGUGUAGGCGGCCCGGUAAGUCCGCUGUAAAAGUCAAAGGCUCAACCUUUGAAUGUCAGUGGAUACUGUCGGGCUAGAGUCCGGAAGAGGCGAGUGGAACUCCUGGUGUAGCGGUGAAAUGCGCAGAUAUCAGGAGGAACACCAGCGGCGAAGGCGGCGCUCUGGGCCGGAACUGACGCUGAGGAGCGAAAGCGUGGGUAGCAAACAGG
rnacentral:rRNA from 1 species